rnacentral:tRNA from 1 species
UCCCAGUGGCUUAGUUGGUAAAGAAUCUGCCUGCAGUGCAGGAGACCUGGGUUCAAUCCCUAGGUUGGGAA